rnacentral:misc_RNA from 1 species
AAGUCGUAACAAGGUUUCCGUAGGUGAACCUGCGGAAGGAUCAUUAUCACGUAUCCACGUAUAAACCAAUCCGUGAACUGUUUAUCACUCACCUCUGAGCUAUGGCCGCUGUCAUUGGACACAUGAGUUCAUUGUAUGAUUAUGUGACUCGUCCUUUGGCAAUUAAGGCUGUCUCUUCGGAGCGUAUUAAUCAUACUUUUUUAACAUUAACCACUUGAACACUAUAUCAUUUUCUUUGUUUGAACUGAUUUGUUUCUUACUCAGCGCGCGUAACACCGCGCCGAGAAGAAAUCGAUUUACGAAACAAAAAAGAACAACUCUUAGCAACGGAUAUCUUGGUUCUC